AGUGAACGCUGGCGGUAGGCCUAACACAUGCAAGUCGAACGGCAGCACAGUAAGAGCUUGCUCUUACGGGUGGCGAGUGGCGGACGGGUGAGGAAUACAUCGGCAUCUACUUUUUCGUGGGGGAUAACGUAGGGAAACUUACGCUACUACCGCAUAUGACCUACGGGUGAAAGCAGGGGAUCUUCGGACCUUGCGCGAUUGAAUGAGCCGAUGUCGGAUUAGCUAGUUGGCGGGGUAAAGGCACACCAAGGCGACGAUCCGUAGCUGGUCUGAGAGGAUGAUCAGCCACACUGGAACUGAGACACGGUCCAGACUCCUACGGGAGGCAGCAGUGGGGAAUAUUGGACAAUGGGCGCAAGCCUGAUCCAGCCAUACCGCGUGGGUGAAGAAGGCCUUCGGGUUGUAAAGCCCUGUUGUUAGGAAAGAAAAGCAGCAGGUUAAUACCCCGCUGUUCUGACGGUACCCAAAGAAUAAGCACCGGCUAACUUCGUG
rnacentral:rRNA from 1 species